rnacentral:rRNA from 1 species
CUGAACGCUGGCGGCGUGGCUAAGACAUGCAAGUCGCACGGCGGUAGCAAUACCGCAGUGGGCGGACGGGUGAGUAAUGAAUCGCUAACGUGCCCCCCACUCGGGGAUAGCCGGCCGAAAGGCCGGGUAAUACCCGAUGAGACCACGGAGUCGCAUGGCUCUGUGCUCAAAGCCCCGGCGGUGGGGGAAGCGGGCGAUUUUCGUAUCAGCUAGUUGGUGCGGGUAACGGCCCACCAAGGCGACGACGCGUAGCCGGACUGAGAGGUCGGCCGGCCACAUUGGGACUGAGACACUGCCCCAGACUCCUACGGGGGGCUGCAGUAACGAAAUCUUCCGCAAUGCCCGCAAGGGUUGACGGAGCGACCGGCCGCGUGCGGGGACGAAGUCCUUCGGGAUGUAAAACCGCUGUCAGGGGUUACCAAGUCCUGAGGAGCCCCAGAGGAAGGCACGGCUAACUCUGUGCCAGCAGCCGCGGUAAGACAGAGGUGCCGAGCGUUAGGCGGAAUCACUGGGCUUAAAGCGCGUGUAGGCGGGUCGUUAAGUGCCUUGUGAAAUCCCCCGGCUCAACCGGGGAACGGCUGGGCAUACUGGCGACCUUGGGGCCACCCAGGGGUCACCGGAAACAGGCGGUGGAGCGGUGAAAUGCGUAGAUAUCGCCUGGAACGCCGACGGUGAAAACAGGUGACUGGGGGUGUGCCGACGCUGAGACGCGAAAGCCAGGGGGAGCGAACGGGAAUUAGAUACCCCGGUAGUCCUGGCCCUAAACGAUGGUCCACUAGGGUCGUGGCGGCGUUUGACCGCCGUCGCGGCCGAAGCAAAAAGUGCUAAGUGGACCGCCUGGGAAGUACGGUCGCAAGGCUAAAAACUCAAAGGAAUUGACGGGGGCUCACACAAGCGGUGGAGCAUGUGGUUUAUAAUUCGAAGCAACGCGCAGAACCUUACCUGGGCUUGACAUGCCGGGAUUACCCCCCCGUGAAAGCGGGGUAGGCCCUUCGGGGUACAACCGGUACAGGUUGCUGCAUGGCUGUCGUCAGCCUCGUGUCGUGAGAUGUCGGGUUAAGUCCCUUAACGAGCGAAACCUUUGCCCUUAGUUUGCCAUCGGGUAAUGCCGGGGACUCUAAGGGGACUGCCGGUGUCAAACCGGAGGAAGGUGGGAGAUGACGUCAAGUCCUCAUGGCCUUUUAUGCCCAGGGCCACACACACGUGCUACAAUUGGCGGCGACAGAGCGACCCGAAGGCGCGAGCCGGUGGAAAAUCGCACAAAACGCCGCCCCCAGUUCAGAUCGGAGGCUGCAACCCGCCUCCGUGAAGUUGGAAUCGCUAGUAAUCGCGGAUCAGCCACGCCGCGGUGAAUGUGUUCCUGAGCCUUGUACACACCGCCCGUCAAGUCAUGGGAGCCGGGAACGGGCCGAAGUCGCCCCACCUCGGGGGUGCCGACGCCGGGCUCGGUGACUGGGGACU